UGGAGCAUGGUGCAGCUUGGUAGUGUGCCAUCUUGGGGUGAUGGAGGUUGUGGGUUCAGAUCCUGAUGCUCCAA
rfam:Picea glauca, whole genome shotgun sequence.